rnacentral:misc_RNA from 1 species
AACCCCCAUUCAGUGUUAAUCCCAACACUCGUCACCAACAUAGUGCCACUACCAUCAGCCACUUUACAGCCCGACAUUAGAAAUGGUUCCCGGGAAUUCUUGUGAACAAUCUUGCUUUCUCCAGUCAUGCUAGAUUCAUCAAUUGCAAGAGAGUGACCAAUAAUUAAAAUUCCAUCAGCAGGUACUUGGUCACCAAUAUUGAGGGGAACAACAUCUCCAACAACAAGAUCAUAUAUUGAAACAUCAACUCUUUUACCCCCUCUAAUAACCUCCAUAUGUAUGUUUCUCUUCUCCUCAUUUAGAUUUUGGAACUGAAGGGAUUGUUUGUAAUCACUUACAGCUGUCACAACAAUGACAAGAAUAACCGCAAAAGCAAUGCUGGUCCCAUCAUACCAUCCCUCCUUAAUACCCUCUGUCUUUAUACCCAGUACCAAAGAAGCCACAGCAGCCACCAUCAAUAUGAU